AAGUCGUAACAAGGUUUCCGUAGGUGAACCUGCGGAAGGAUCAUUAGCAAGAUUGCCUCCUCGCUCAUCAUUGCCCCCUCCAUUUUGUGGAUGGUGGUGAUGGUGGGAAGGGGAAGAAAGGCAAGUGCCAUCCUUGUGUUAUGUUUUUCAUGUGUAUGUGUGUGUGUGUGUGUUGCGCGAUUCAUUCGCGCAUCCGCGCGCAUCACUUUUACCAUUCAACACUCUUUACCAUUCAUAUUCUGAACAAACCUUGUCAUUGCUCGCAAGAGCAUGCACAAACCAACCGAAAACUGCCAGCAAUGGAUCACUCGGUUCUC
rnacentral:misc_RNA from 1 species